ACGAACGCUGGCGGCGUGCUUAACACAUGCAAGUCGCACGGAAAGGCCCUGCUUUUGUGGGGUGCUCGCGUGGCGAACGGGUGAGUAACACGUGAGUAACCUGCCCUUGACUUUGGGAUAACUUCAGGAAACUGGGGCUAAUACCGGAUAGGAGCUCCUGCUGCAUGGUGGGGGUUGGAAAGUUUCGGCGGUUGGGGAUGGACUCGCGGCUUAUCAGCUUGUUGGUGGGGUAGUGGCUUACCAAGGCUUUGACGGGUAGCCGGCCUGAGAGGGUGACCGGCCACAUUGGGACUGAGAUACGGCCCAGACUCCUACUGGAGGCAGCAGUGGGGAAUAUUGCACAAUGGGCGGAAGCCUGAUGCAGCAACGCCGCGUGCGGGAUGACGGCCUUCGGGUUGUAAACCGCUUUCGCCUGUGACGAAGCGUGAGUGACGGUAAUGGGUAAAGAAGCACCGGCUAACUACGUG
rnacentral:rRNA from 1 species